rnacentral:rRNA from 1 species
AGCUCCAAUAGCGUAUAUUAAAGUUGUUGCAGUUAAAAAGCUCGUAGUCGGAACCGAGGUGCCGGCGGGCGGUCCCUCCCCCGGAGGGUCUCACUGCCCUGUCCGGCCCUGAUCCGCCGGCGUGUGGCUGGUGCCCUUGACUGGAGUGCCAGCCGCGGCCGGAACGUUUACUUUGAAGAAAUUGGAGUGUUCAAGGCAGGCGCUACGCCCGAACAAUGGUGCAUGGAAUGAUGGAAUAGGACCUCGGUUCUAUUUUGUCGGUCUUCGGGACCAGAGGUAAUGAUCAAAAGGAGCGGUCGGGGGCAUUCGUACUGCGGCGUGAGAGGUGAAAUUCUUAGAUCGCCGCAAGACGGUCUGCUGCGAAAGCGUUUGCCAAGCACGUUUUCAUUGAUCAAGAACG